rnacentral:tRNA from 1 species
CAGCAAUUAGGCCGGCCUCAUCGGUCAGAAUUUCAAUAUGAUUCAAAUUUUGUUUUUGAAAAUGUUGUUGCAGUUCGGCAACUUUAUUUGCUGG